rnacentral:ncRNA from 1 species
AAUAGAUAGCCCCUUCGUACGAAAGGAGUUGGGUAUAUUGACCUAUGGUUUACCUGUUGUUUAUAUGAAUAAACGAUUAAAACUUUCACUAGAGUUUUAAAUGUAAUAAGCAUGGCAGGAAAGCUAAGUCGGUUAAAGAUAAGUGCUGAAAGCAUAUAAGCGCGAAGUUUACUAUUAGAUA